UAUAUUAAGUUGUUGCAGUUAAAAAGCUCGUAGUUGAAUUUCGGGACCAUCAUGUCGGUCGUGCCUCGGUACGUACUGGCAUUGUUGGUUUCUCCCUUCUGACGAACCAUGAUGUCAUUUAUUUGGUGUUGUGGGGAAUCAGGACUGUUACUUUGAAAAAAUUAGA
rnacentral:rRNA from 1 species